GGCACAGCCUUUCAGGGCAGGAAUAUACUGCCUGCUGAGCUCGGCCUUGCAGGUGGGAGCACAAGCCUCUGCACCGCAACCAAUUCACACCUUCCAGAAACCCGGACCCGCCGGUCGCCAAGGAGCGGACAUGGAAACCGGAGUCCCACCGGAGUCUCUCCCAUGUAAAGUCAAUGAGUCCGAGGACAGCGCUUUUGGAUAGAAAAUACAGAUGUUACCUGAUAAAUGAAUAAAUGAAUGAACACCACACUACACUGACUUUCAGUCCAAGGGCUAUUCAUCCCAAAAUGAUGAGGAAGGAGAAGCUAAUGCAAGUUAACUAGUUAAAUACAGAAUAUAUACUAUGUUCUUAUGCAUUCUGCCUUAUCAUUGUAACUGCCAAUAUCGAAGAUUAAAUAAAUACAGAAAAGCAACUG